AGAGGGACUUCCUGGAUUGCAGCACCAGGUUAGAGGGAGAAGUAACAGACUGGGGACAUGAAGUGACAGUUCACACCCAUCAGAGWCUCACACAGGGCUCACAGUCAAUAGGAAGAGAGAGCACACAGAGAGAGUAGACACAGACAGAGAUAGUGACCAUUAGACAAAGAGGAGAAAGAGGAGAGAGACCCCAGUGUUGUGGUUGAUUCAUCGAGGCAGUAGAAGCAGGAUGUGGGUCCUCAUCUGGGCAGCUCUACUUUUCUCUCUGACAGAGAGAACCACAUGCCCAAUGAAGGCCCCUCCAGCAGCAUACAACAUCACCUUCAGUCCAGCAGAGAUAACACCACAGACUGGACUAUGUGCUGUUAUUCCAUGUUCGUUCACUCACCCUGAUGACUUCCUUGCUAGCAUAGCAAUGUGGCUUAAAUGCCCUGAUGAACGAUGUUCUGUUAAAGUCGAAACAGACUCUAUUUUCCACUCAAUGAAUUCCUCUAUAGCUCAGGAGGGUUAUAGAAGGCGAGUAGCACUACUGGAGACAGACCUGACAAAGAAGAACUGCAGUAUGAUCAUCAACGACAUCACUAAGACUGAUGACGGAGACUAUCAAUUAAGACUGUCCGGAACAUUGAACAGUGUAUAUAUAAGUCAAUUUACAUACCAGAAGAAACUGAAAAUGGCAGUGAAAGGUACAGCAUGACUAUUACCGUUAGUUACAGUGACAAGAGUAUUACUUUGGUGUAAUUUAUCAUGUACACUGACUGUAACAUAAGUACCUCCAAUUUACAAAGCCCAAGAUUUCCCCAAGUCUCCCAUUUCAAAGUGUUUAUUUUUCUAAACCGGUACUAUGAUUUCAUACUUUAUAUGAAUAUAUGUUUCUGCUGUUUUCUACAUGGAUGCAAAAUCCAUGUUAUAGCGUGACUUAAAUGUAAAGGUAAAUUCCUAUUGAGCCGACGUGUGCAUUUACCAUGAAUACGGGAACAUUGCCUCUAAAUGUAAAUCACGCUAUUGUGCGAAUCUUCCACGAUCCUGAUUGAAUUUAGGCCUCAGUCUGUGUUUCUAUUUCCUACCUCCAGCUCUGACCCAGAAGCCCUCAGUGUUGACUCCUCCUCUGACAGAGGGAGAACCAGCGACCCUGACCUGCACCGCCCCGGGGAUCUGCUCUGGAACUCCUCCUAACAUCACAUGGACAUGGAGAGGGACAGGAGACAACAUCACUGAGCUCAGAGACAACACCACUACACAAAGGAGAGAGGAUCUGACCCGCGUCACAACAACCCACUUCUCAACUUUGAACUUUACACCUUCAGCUGAGCACCACACCACCAAGGUCACGUGCCAAGUGACAUUCAUAGGGAACAUCACAACUGAGGAGACAGUGACUUUGAAUGUGACUCGUAAGUAGCCUACAUAAUCUGACCUUACUUUGAACAACCCAACCUUUUGUUGUGCUUCAACAGUUAUAUUCCAUGAUUAACUGA
rnacentral:lncRNA from 1 species